ACGAGACGCGCUCCCUCGGACCGGAGCUCCAGGGGGCAUCCGAGGACUCCGAGGAGCCGCCGACAGCGCCGCUCCCCCGCCCCAGCCGCCAGCCCAACUCCGCCAGCGCUCCGGAGACACGCAACUCCAGGGACCCGGGGGCCGCCCCGCUGUGGCCCGCGCUCCCCUUCCCGGGACCCCUGCGGCCCGACUCCCCCCAUCCACUGUGCAAAAGGCGCCCCCCGACACACCAGGCGGCGGCUCCCCUUCCCCGCUUCCCUGGCUCCGGGCGCGGCCGCCGUGGGGGCGAAGACAUCCAACCCUUCGCGCCCCUCUCGCCGCCCCCGACCCGGGAGGGCCAGAGCAGAGAAACAAACCGAAAGUCACCGACCUCUCUCCGCAGCGGGCUCGGGCGCUCCCUACAGAGGCGGCGGCGGCUGUAGCGGUAGCAUCGCGGGGUGGUCCCGGCGCGCCCGCCACCCGCUCCGCCAGACGCGCGCAGCGGCAGGCUGCGGGGCGGGCGCGGGGGGCGCGGCGUCGGCGCCCGCAGCCCCUGCCCCCGGCUCGACCCUGCGGGAGGCGCCCCACCUGCCCGCCGCCCUCGGCGCUCCCGGUCGGACACCGCCGCCAGGCGCUCGGCUCCGAGCGGGAUCUUUUUGUGUCACCGCCCAGACCCAGGCACCGAAGGGGGUGGGGGCGGGAGGCCGGGCUCCGCUCCCCGCGGCACCGCCCCUCCCCGGCGGCUCCACCUCCUCCGACACCUCCCCCCCCUCCACGCCCCCGCGGCGGCGGGUCCGGGACGUGCGUCUGUCAGUCCGGCCUGCCACACCGACACCCCGAGCGCGGGGCUGCCCACGCUGGCUCGCGCGCUCCCUUGGCCACGCCCCAAGUGCCCAACCUCGGCCGGGACCUCGGCGUUGUCUUUCCCCCCGCGCAAGGCGGGGGGACCUGGGCGACGAUCAGGUGUGAAGAGGCCGCGUUCAGCCGGCUCCAGAGCGGAGCCCCAGAGGUGGGGGCAGAGGCUGGCGGGGACAAAUGUGCGGCUGGCGACCGAGGGACCGGAAUCCGCGUCACCUCAGAUACUUUUGGGCUGCCCCUAAAAGUUCACGUAAUCCAAGCAGGGAGGGGUCCUGCUUUUGUGGAGUGGAGGACGCGUCCGGAGAGGCCGGAACAGAUACCACCACCCCCCCCCCCACACACACACACACACUCCACCGCCUCGCUCCCUGGGAGGGGGUCGGGGAGUAGGAAAGAGGCAGGUGCAAGUCCUGACGGUUAUAUGGCAGGUGCGACCCACCGGGGCCCACCUUAUUCUCCACCUUGAAACCCUGCUUAGAAUGACUACUUCCUCCAAGGAAAUGUAAAGACCUGGUCUCUUGCCUCUUGUUGUGACUGCAAAAUUGGGGAAUGAAGGAGGGGGAGUCGCCCGUAGAGGAGGGUAUCCGUGCUCUUUUUAAAGGAUUUCUAUGCAGAAUGAAGAUCCAAAACUCUAUUCUAUGACUCUGGUAAAGAUAAGCCUUGACCAUCCUGCCCGGAUCUUCAGCACCAGGGCUUUACUGAAUCCAUCAACAGAGCAUAUGCAGCCUUUCCACUCCUGCUGGAGUGGAGCUGUCUUUCUGUCCUACUGUCUUGUCCACAAAGAACUCCCAUGCUAACCUUUGCCAAAAGCUCAUUGAAGUGCUUCUCCCAAGGAAAGGAAACCCUGUGAACCAACGAGGGGGCCCUGUAUGACCUACUAAAAUUCAAAAUGUACUCAAUCGACCCUCCUUGUUCCACGAGUAAAACCUGUUAAUGGUCUUUCCAAAUGUGUUGUCACUAAGCACAUACAGAAAUCAGUCACCCAGGGACAGGUUUAUAGCUCAAUGGCUGUCAGUUCUCUCCUAACUAAAGCGUUCACUUGGCUACUACCCCUUUUCCCUUCGUUCCCUGAAGUUCCUCGCUGCACCUGGCAGGAGUGAAAACUAGAUGGGGGCUUUAAAAGCCUCAGGUAUUCUUGAAGCAGACUUUAGGAGUCUUUAUUUUCGGCCUCAAUUUCGGGGCAGAAAAAAAAAAGGUUUUUUUUCAAUGAGACGCUAACGAGAGUAUUGAAAUCUCUGAUGGUGACCAGGAACUUGGAAUAGGAUGGUAAGUUAUCACACCCAAAUAUUUUACCGGGAAAGUUUAGCCUAUAAAUAUUAUGAUUAUACACGAGGGUCUUUAAAGCCUACUUUUAAGAAGCUAAUUUCAGGGACCAGUAAUUAUUCCAAAAUAUUUAAACUCUUCUUUCAGCUGCUUUCAAAACAACCCCUUGGGAGGAUUCAAGCAUUCGGCGUGGUGUGGGGUCACUUGCGUCCUUAUUCAUUCCCGCUGGCUGGCAUUUUAAUUCACUCGACAUCAUGGGUGUUCUGCCUUCUGUCCAGUCUUGUGAAGCUGUCACGUAGAGAAGGUUAAUUAACUGGGGCAGACUGGGAUAGACCAGGUCUAAGACUAGUUGGGGGCAGCUCCCCCGGGGAAGGCAGCAACCGUUUGAGUCAGGGGAGGAACAGGCAGCGACACGUCUGAGCGGAGUGUUCAGUGAGGCCGGUCCAGGAGCAAGGCGGCCACAGCCGGGCACGGUUCGGAGCUGCAAGCUGGCCGGCAGUGUGGUCAAAGCUUCUGGCCUCACACGCCAGACGGAGACACCCAUCAGGAUGGGCGCUGGUCCUGAGGAACAACAUAGAGAUCAGAUAUUCAUGAGUUCAUUGGACAGAUAUUCUUUUUUUUUUUUUAAUGUUUUUAUUUUAUUUUUGAGAGAGAGAGCAUGAGGAGGGGAGGUGCAGAGAGAGAAAGGGAGACCCAGAAUCCAAAGCAGGCUCCAGGCUCUGAGCUGUCAGCACGGAGCCCGACGCGGGGCUCGAACUCACAGACGGUGAGAUCAUGGCCUGAGCCGAAGUCGGACACUUAACCGACUGAGCCACCCAGGCGCCCCUGGACAGAUAUUCUUUGAGUACGGACUAGGAUCAGGAGAGAGAAGAAAACAGACCCGAAUCGCUGCCCUCACAGGACACACGCUCAAACAGAGAAAGCAGAGAAUAUACAGCCUAACAAAUAAGUAAAAUAAAUUGCAUGUUGGAGGGUGAAAAGGCAAAGGGAGGAGCAGGAGAGGGGGUGAUGAAGUCUCUGUGUGGGAAGAAAUCUGAAAUUUUAGUUCAGGGGCCAGGGAGGGCCCUUUGAGGAGCUCACUGCAGGAAGUGAGGGAGCAGGGCAGGCAGUGAGCCCUUAUCAGACAGCGCCCAAGAGAUGGGUCUGUACUUCCCACGGGCAAAGGUCGGGAGACCAGGACUGGGUCACAAGGUCAGUCAGACUGGUAACAUUGACCGUUGCUUAGUCACCUGAGGUUGAACUAAAGCUGUUUAAAUCCUGACGGGGAUGAGCUUUUAUUCAUCUUUAUACUCGCAGCAUUGAGCACAGGUACCCAACAAGUGUUUAUUGGCCUGAGCCCUUAAGUCUCUGAGAAGGUGGGGUGGGGCUGAGACAAAUGUGACCCCACAACCCCAAAGACACCCCUUCUAUGGGGGAUGAUGUCUUCCACAGAAGAAUGUGAUGAUGUCUUUUCAUGGAUUUUGUGACUGUCUUACUGUUCUUUGAGGGCAGGGAUUAUCUUUCACCUUCUACCCGGAGCACCUAACACAUGAAGAGGGCAGAAGAGAAGGAAGGAAGCAGGGGGAGGAGAAGAGAAAGAAAGAGGGGAAUCAGGACAAGGAACAAGCAAACCCUGCUGGAUGCUUACAACCCCGAAAGAUCUUAAUCCAGCCCAACAGUGAAGGUGAGUUGUCUAACACGUAUGAGUUUUACCUGUCAAAACUGCAUCUUGAAGCCGAAUCACGGUAAUAGUUGCACACUUAAAAACAAGUGGAUUCAGGGGUGCCUGAGUGGCUCAGUUGGUUAAGCGUCCGCCUUUGGCUCAGGUCAUGAUCUCACAGCUCAUGGGUUCGAGCCCCACGUCAGGCUCUGCACUGACAGCGUGGAGCCUGCUUCAGAUUCCGUGUCUCCCUCUCUCUCUGCCUCUCCCCUGCUCGCACUCUGUCUCUGUCUCUCUCUGCCAAAAAUAAAUAAACAUUAAAAAAAAUGUUAAACCAAGUGGAUUUCAUGGUAUGUAUGUUAUACCUCAGCAGAGUUGUUUGGAAACAUCGAAGAAGCACCCCGCAGUCAGCCAGCUUUCACAUGCUGUCAGUGAUGAGCGAAGGAGCCAUAUUUAACCAAACACAUUAUCAUCCGUCCUGAUAGAUAAUUAAACCAAAGUGAUUUGUGUGAAAUAGCAGAAACUGUAUUUUUGGUCUCUGUCCCCGGUUCCUGGCACAGAGCUCCUGAAACCCUUAUAAUUUUCUAAGUGAUAAAGGCACCAGGAGCAUCUUUUGUUCUAAUAUUUGGCCUUUGCCCCCAGUUGCUGAUGCCGAGUUCCUAAACCCCUGAGGAUUCCCAGGGUAAUAGGAAUGUCUUUUGUUCUAAUGCGGUGACUCUUGGUGGGCUCCUGGCUGAGUGCUGGUCACCCGAAAGUCCAAGCCAUGAGGAGAAGCUUGGAAUUUUCAGCCCCACAUCCCCUUCUCCAGGGAGGCGAGAGAAGCUGGAAAUGGAUUUAACUAUUGAGUAGGUCUAUGUGAUGAAGUGUCCAUGAAAGUCCCCAAAGCAGAGUUUGGAAAGCUCCUAGGUUGGUGAGUAUGAAGAGGUCGGGGGUGGGGGGCGGGGGAGAGGAGCACCCAGAGAAGGCAUGGAAACUCCCAGCGCCUUCCCACCUACCUUCUGCUUCACAUCUCUUCUAUUUGGAUGGUCAUCGGUAUCCUUUAUCAUAUCCUUUUAUGAUAAACUGAUAAACAGUAAGUAAACUGUUUCCCUGAGUUCUGUGAGCCACUCUAGCAAAUUAAUUGAAACUGAGGAGGAAGAGAUGGGCCAUAAACGUCUGCUUUAUGGCCCACCGGUGGUCAGGUGUUCAGGUGACCACAUGGAAUUGCAAUUGGGAGACAGGGCAGCAGGCUUGUGGGACUGAACCUUCAACCUGUGGGAUCUGGCUGUAUCUCCAGUGUGAGAAUGGAGUUGACUUGUAGGACACCCAGCUGGUGUCACAGAGAAUUGCCUGUGGGGAAAAAAAAACCCAUACCUUUGGUGACCAGAAGUCUCAGAAAUACAGUGGUCUGUGUGAAAGUAAGGGAAGAAGAGUGAGUUUUUCUCACUCAGUUUGCAAAUUUACUUUUCCCUUAUGGGAUAUUUGCCACUUUAGGGCAUAUAUAAUCUUUUUAAGAGUCUAAAAAAGUUGUCUUAAACGAUAGUCUAGAUAAAGUUUACCGAUAAUGAUUGCUAAAGAGGGUGCACAUUUCAAAACUGGUUUUUAUUUGGGGGCCCUACUGACCCCAAUUCCGACAAUUAUUCUGAUAAGGUAUACCAAGUGAGAAAGGUACUCUAUUGGAUACAUUGUUAAAUCUCUUACCUACUUACAGCCAGGUGCUCUGGAUCUAAGGACAAUGAAACCUCUCGGGAACAAAAUACUGAAGUAUUCUGGAAACCCCAUAGGACCUUCAAGGAACUACAUCUAGAUCGCUUUUCUAAAAGUGGUGAUGGAUUGAACAAAGACAACUCAUUGUUUUUUAGCCUCAUCUUUGAUAGGUACAGCAGACAUUAUAGAGCAGCUGUCUAGAGUUAUGUGAGCAUAGUCAGGGUAAUAGUCAACAUGUUUAACCAGCUGUAGGCCUAGGCAUCCACCAAUUUGUUUGGACGAUGACCAUCAACAAUAUAGCCAUUUGGUGCGUCCUGGCUGAAUGUCAGCCUUAGACUAUGAUACCAAAGUCCUCUAGGCACCCCCCUCAACAGCAGGUGUCUGCUGUGUUCUCAUCACAUUUGUACAGUUUGGGGCUGAGCGAGAUCCUCAUAUCCACGGUCAGUUGCUAAUGUCUGCUCUAAGUACAGUAGAGGGAAAUCAUUAUAAACUGAAUUCCUUAUACUGUACCAUCAACAUGAGACACUGUUCUCACUGCCUAAUGGGCUGGAAGGACCACAUCCGAUCGGCCAGGGAAGAUUUGGAUUAUGCAGCUCCUUUCUUACCCACUGUCCCUCCCCUCCAUCAUCUGUCCUAUUCUCUUUUCCUCCAUUUGUUCACCCAUGCCCAUCAAUCACUGUCCUCCCUAUCUUUCCUUUCCAUCGGCUGUCAGGUUCCUGGAACCCACUGAUCUCCCCUCGACUAACCUGCUGAUCCAGCUGCCGGAUGGCACAGUGGUGCAGCCCUGAGACGAGAAAAGGAAAACAACAACCAGGAGGUUCCACCACCAUUGUUGAGACCCAAGUCUGCAUCUACCACUUUGCCCUACUGGUCCACGAAGCUGGCUCCAGUCCUUCGGCAAUACAUCCUUCCAUACUCCAUUCCUAGCCUGCAUCUUACUCAAGCCGACCUGGCACCCCUUUACCCGACCCAGGUCCAGACCCAGCUUCACCCGCCCCUUCUCCCCACUGUCUCCCCUCUGAGCCGCAGUCAUUCUGAGCUGCAAUCUCUCCAACACGAAGGAAGCAAACAUCUGUUUUAGGCCCUCUGGAUCCCAAGGGUCAAAUCAGGGCACCCUCUAGUGGUCAGGAGGAGAGAUGUCAACCUCUGGUCUGCAUCACCUAGAGGUCAGACCCCUGUAGGGGCCAGGAUAGCGCAAUGCUGAAUAGGCUAUUCUCUAUAUGCUUUCUACUCUUUUUGCUUUAAUGUCUUUCCUCUUGAUUCUCUCCCUCCCGGUGGGUGGAGUGCGCUGGGAAGGGAGAUGGAGUCAAGCACCCUCCACUCCAUUCCCAACCUUUCUGCUUCACCGUUGUCCACAGCGGUUUGCACGUUCUCAGAACCCAAAUUAUUCUGCUACAGGGCAAGAGAACCAUCAAGUCCAAAAUCAGUAAAGGAUAACUUGCUUUUUGUUGGUGAACAGUAACUGGGUCUGUGUACCAGAUAGUGUUGCUGACCAUAACCUACGGUAUUUCAUCCUCCCAAGUAUGAUGUAGAAGUAGUAUGAUCAACCCCACUUUACAGACAAGGAGACUGAUGCCUACACCACUGACAUACCUUGCCCAAUAAGACAGGACCGGUAAAUGGUGAAUCCAAACUUGACCCAGGUCUACCAAACCCAAAGCACUUCUCCUGACUAUCUGCACCAAGAUUUCUGCCAUGGACCACAGUCUCCAGGCAAUUCCACUGCAUUUGGCUGAAAUGCAUCUCAGCCUCUUCCAAGCUGCUCCUGUUGUAGCCCACGGUCAGCAAGUGGCUUCUAAGCCUGACACAGUGGCUCAUAGUACUUCAGGGCCCCAAAUCAUCCCCAGAUUUCAAGUGGAUCUGUUCUUCCCUCUCCUCACCCUCACCCUUUGUUUGAACCUUAUGCAGCUACGUGACCAUUUAUAAUUGUCAAUCCCCAAAGGUUUGGUGCUUUCAAGUUUACAAGGCUGUCUACAUCUCUGUCUCUCACCAUGAUCUUCUGUCCCUUCAGUUUAUUUACUUAUUUUGAGAGUGGCGGAGGGGCAGAGAGAGAGGGAGAGAGUCAGCAUGGAGCCCAGCGUGGGGCUCGAACCCACAAACUGUGAGAUCAUGACCUGAGCUGAAAUCAAGAGUCAGACGCUAAGCAAAUUGAGCCACCCAGGUGCCCACCUUCUGUCCCUUCAAAGCUCACUCAAAUUUCUCCAACCAGAUUCAUUUUUACUUUCUGUGAAUUCCUGUGGCCUAUCAUUGUUCUUUUAUUUUGAACUUAGUGCACUCUGCCUUACAUCAUAGCAAGCUGCCAUGUGCACAUCAACAUAUCCUUAAAGACUAGAACUCUUGUUUAUUCCUUUCAUCCGCUCACACACACACACACACACACACACACACACACCAGCAUCAUAUAGAAUAGAGGGCUCAUGCCUGCACAUGAUCAGUGCUUAAUAAAUGUUCGUUUUGAUGACCAAUCAGGAGUUUCUAUUUUCCCUUCCAGAGUCAUGCUUCCUAGCUUCCUGUAUCAGCUCUCAGGGGAUUUUCCCGAAGUUGUUUCUUUACAUAUCUGUUAUAACCUAGCUACUCCAGCUCAGCCAAAGUGGGAUUUAGGGUUAUUUCCAAAUCAUAGUGGGGAGGGAGGUGGGUAUGGUGGGAUAAAGAAUUAUGACGUGACCUGAGAUUUCUCACUCUGGGCUUCAGGCAUAUGGACUUUCUAAUAGCUAUACUUACCCUAUGUUAUGGGUUGAAAUGUGUCCUCUCAAAAUCUGUAUGUUGAACUCUUGGGGCACCAGGUGACUCAGUCAAUUAAAUGUCUGACUUCGGCUCAGAUCAUGAUCUCAUUGUUCAUGAGUUCGAGCCCCGCAUCGGGCUUUCUGCUGUCAGCAUGGAAC
rnacentral:lncRNA from 1 species